CAGCAGCCACGGUAAUACGAAGGUCCCAAGCGUUGUUCGGAAUCACUGGGCGUAAAGGGAGCGUAGGCGGCGUGGUAAGUCAGAUGUGAAAUCCCGGGGCUCAACCCCGGAACUGCAUCCGAUACUGCCAUGCUUGAGGGUUGGAGAGGUAGCUGGAAUUCUUGGUGUAGCAGUGAAAUGCGUGGAUAUCAAGAGGAACACUCGUGGCGAAGGCGAGCUACUGGACAACAUCUGACGCUGAGGCUCGAAGGCCAGGGUAGCGAAAGGGAUUAGAUACCCCGGUAGUCCCUGUCUCUUAUAC
rnacentral:rRNA from 1 species